GAGGAAAGUCCGGGCUCCUUAGGGCAGGAUGCUGGGUAACUCCCAGCGGGACAGGGCAUAAGGCCUGUUCCAGCGCCAGUGCAACAGAAAAUAUACCGCCGGACUUUGUCCGGUAAGGGUGAAAUGGCGGGUUAAGAGCCCACCGGCAGGCUGGUGACAGCCUGGUCUGGUAAACCGCAUCCGGAGCAAAGCCAAAUAGGGAAGGUAUGGAGCUGCCCGCUCUUCUUCCGAGUUGGCCGCUUGAGAUAAGCAGUAAUGAUUAUCCUAGAUGGAUGACUGCCGCUGACUGUGCGAGAGUGCAGUUAGUACAGAAUCCGGCUUAC
rnacentral:RNase_P_RNA from 1 species